rnacentral:rRNA from 1 species
AUUGAACGCUGGCGGCAGGCUUAACACAUGCAAGUCGAGCGGAGAUGAGGUGCUUGCACCUUAUCUUAGCGGCGGACGGGUGAGUAAUGCUUAGGAAUCUGCCUAUUAGUGGGGGACAACAUUCCGAAAGGAAUGCUAAUACCGCAUACGUCCUACGGGAGAAAGCAGGGGAUCUUCGGACCUUGCGCUAAUAGAUGAGCCUAAGUCGGAUUAGCUAGUUGGUGGGGUAAAGGCCUACCAAGGCGACGAUCGGUAGCGGGUCUGAGAGGAUGAUCCGCCACACUGGGACUGAGGCACGGCCCAGACUCCGACGGGAGGCAGCAGUGGGGAAUAUUGGACAAUGGGGGGAACCCUGAUCCAGCCAUGCCGCGUGUGUGAAGAAGGCCUUAUGGUUGUAAAGCACUUUAAGCGAGGAGGAGGCUACUGAGACUAAUACUCUUGGAUAGUGGACGUUACUCGCAGAAUAAGCACCGGCUAACUCUGUGCCAGCCGCCGCGGUAACAC